AUUGAACGCUGGCGGCAUGCCUUACACAUGCAAGUCGAACGGCAGCGCGGGAGCAAUCCUGGCGGCGAGUGGCGAACGGGUGAGUAAUAUAUCGGAACGUGCCCAGUAGUGGGGGAUAGCCCGGCGAAAGCCGGAUUAAUACCGCAUACGACCUGAGGGUGAAAGGGGGGGAUCGCAAGACCUCUCGCUAUUGGAGCGGCCGAUAUCAGAUUAGGUAGUUGGUGGGGUAAAGGCCUACCAAGCCUGCGAUCUGUAGUUGGUCUGAGAGGACGACCAGCCACACUGGGACUGAGACACGGCCCAGACUCCUACGGGAGGCAGCAGUGGGGAAUUGUGGACAAUGGGCUCAAGCCUGAUCCAGCAAUGCCGCGUGCAGGAAGAAGGCCUUCGGGUUGUAAACUGCUUUUGUCAGGGAAGAAAUCCUCUAGGCUAAUACCUUGGGGGGAUGACGGUACCUGAAGAAUAAGCACCGGCUAACUACGUGCCAGCAGCCGCCGUAAAAC
rnacentral:rRNA from 1 species